GCUAUGUUGGUUGUCCCUACCUUUGACACAUGCUCAAUUUGUUAAAUACUAAUCACACUACUUCAUCUCCACUUGAGUAGAUCUCUAUAAAAGCCAUCACGCUACCUUUGUUUAUCCUAGUAAGUGUUAGUUUGGAAGUACUGUACAUACUUCUAUUGGUUUUUAAAUUAAGCAUGGUGCUUAGGUUAAACAGCCUUCCUUAAUCUAAUUAGACAUAGAGUCUAGUUUGGUUAUUGAACUAAAAACUGCUUGUGUAGACAUUGGUAUAUUUUGUUCGACUAACCCCUGUAGGAAAACUUUCAAUAUCGACCUGGGAAGUCCUGAGAUAAACUCACACUGGAGACAAAGAGAGACACACAUGAAGUUUAACAAUUUACACAAGGAAGGCAUAGCUCACAAGAGAUGAUCCAUGGAGGGUGCCACAAACACAAUGCACAACC
rnacentral:lncRNA from 1 species